rnacentral:rRNA from 1 species
AUGGCGGAGGCGGUGAUGGGGCCGCUGCUGGGGGCACUGCAGGAGCUGGUGAUGAAGGAGGCGCAGGCGAUGAAGGCGGUGGACGACGACGUGCGGAACCUCCGGGACAAGCUCAUGUGGCUGCAGGCCUUCCUCCGCGACGCCGAGCCACGGCGCCGCGCCAGGAACGAUGAGCUCACCAGGGUCUGCCUCCACCAGGUCCGCGGCGCCGUCUUCGACGCCGAGGACGCCGUCGACCGCUACUUCCUCCAGAUCGACCUCUCCAAGUACCCAGGCUGGAGCCAAGCCAUCCUCCAAUUCUUCGCCGGAUUGACCACGCAGGUGCGCGGGCGGAGCGACCUGUCGAGGAGGGUCAGAUCCAUCAACAGGAGGCUCGAGAUAAUAAUCGAGAACAAGGAAAAGUACAAGAUCGAUGACCAGGAUUCCUCGUCCGUCACCACCUGGAGGCCGUCCACUGAGAUCAGUGCUGCUGUUGAAAAUCUGGGUCGUUUCAUGCUACCAUUGGUGGGACGAGACGACAUGCAAGAGCAAAUAAAAAAGGCGCUCAACGAGGAAUCCAAGCACCCCGUGGUGAUCACGGUGGCAGGGGAGAGCGGCGUGGGCAAGACGAAGCUGAUGCAGGCGAUCUACGAGGGUCCCCUAACCAAGGAGCAUUUCAGGGUGCGCGUGUGGGUGAGCUUCGCGCCGGGCCUCAGCGCCUCCCAGAUCCUCAAGCUGGUCCUCCUGCGCAUGGCGCUGAAGCCGAGCAAGAGAAGCUACGACGACGGCGACGACUGUCCCGGCAUAAGGCUACGAGCGGCGCUGCGAGCCAAGAUCUACCUUCUGGUCCUCGACGGCGAGGUCAGCAGCACGGAGUGGAACGGCAUCCUGUCCUUCCUGGAGACGAGCAGCUCCAAGAGCAGAGUGGUGAGGAUCACGCGGAUGGACCCGGCGGCACAUUCCUCCAGCUUCGAGCACAGGAAUAUCGUCCUUACGCACUUGGACAAGGGCAGGUCCAUGCAGCUGUUCCACAGGGCGCUCCGCCUGGGCCUGGGCUGGGGGCAUGGCGAGAAGCAUAACAGCAGGAUCUUGGCCGACGACCCGAAGAUGAAGAAGCACCUGGAUUCCAUCCACAGCGUCACCGGCGGUCUCCCGCUGUCGGUCGUGCUGCUGGCGGGCCUCCUGCAGACCAAGGAGUUCCCCGGGGAAUGGAUUCGCGUGUUCGAGCACCUCACGGACAAGUCCGGCAAGUCCAAACGGGGCGACAUCAUACUCUCCAUGUGCUUCGACGACCUCCCGCACGACCUGAAAUCGUGCUUCCUCUACCUGGCAUGCUUCCCGGUGGAGGGUUUCCUGAGCCCUAGGGGGGGCAUGACGAUGGAGAGGGUGGGCAUCCAUUUCUUGAACGAACUGGCCCAGAGGCGCCUCAUCAACAUCCCGCCGGUGGAGUACGCCGAUCCUGGGUUCGAGAGCAUCACCGUGCAGUCAAGGGUCCACGACUUCCUUCUGCAUGAGGCGCAGGAGGCCAGCUUCGUGGAGGUCCACUGCGGCGACGAUGUCCCGAUGCUGACCACCACUCGCCGCCUCGCGCUGCAGAACCACAGCGAUAAGUAUGCUGCCCUCACCACCCCUCUGCCCAAGCUGCGGUCCAUCUUCUCCAGCUUUGAAAAAGAAGACACGGCGACGACGAUGGUGGCGGAUGCUGCUGCAGGCGACCGGGACAAGAAGGGUAUAAAGACCAGUACUGCUCGGGUCUUCCCUCAUCUUCUUCGGAGCCCCGACAGCGCCUACACGUACCCCAAGGAGAUUAUACAGAGGCUCCUGCGCAAUUCCAAGUUCCUCCGUGUCAUCAGUCUAGAUGGCCUCGACAUUGGCAUCGAGUUACCCCAUGAAAUCGGGAGCGUGGUGCACCUGCAGCAUCUCGCCAUCACCUCCUGCUCCCUCAAGGUAAUACCACCGUCAAUUGGGAAGCUGACCCGACUGCAGACGCUGGAUGUCCGAGGCACCGGCGUCAACGCGCUCCCCACGGGGUUCUGGAAGAUACAAACGUUGCGGCACGUGUUCGGGUCCAUCGUCUUGCCCAGGCGAGUUGGCCACCUGGAGCAGCUGCGGAAUCUGACGACCGUAAACCAGGGCAACAACGGUGUCUGGGACAAGAAAACCUUCCACAGGAUGGUACGCCUCAACACGCUGCACAUCGACGGGAUCUCCGCCGACAGCGUGGAGGCCAUCUACGAGCUCAAGUACCUCGUGAUCCUCAACCUCGCUUCCGGCGAGCUGGCGACGAUCCCCUUUGCUCUGUUCACCAGAUCCAACCUCCCACGCCUCCAGAUGAUUUUUUUGGAAAAGUGA